CAAGGGCUGCUCAGCUCCAUGGGGCCCUGCCCAGCACCUCCUCACGCAGGGCUUGCUCUGGGCCAGGCAGGGCCUCCCGGCUGCUGAGGCACACGGAGCUGUCGCAUCCCUGCUGAAGGGGUGGCGGUCAGGUUUCUGUCUGCCCACAGCCCAGGCUGUUACUCGUAGUGCCCAGCUUUUGUGUGGGAGGAAGCAGAGCGAUGGUCAGUCAGCACAGCUCACCUUCAUACCAGACACUGACCUUGGUGUAGAAAGUCUGCUUACCCCACGUACCUCGGCUUGGUUAGGCACGUGCAUCGCCUCAUGCGGGCACAGGCUGUGCCACCCUACAGCUGUGAGAUCAGUGGCGGUGGGCAAGGGGUCUCUGCUCCGGGUGCUGUUUGCUGCUUUGCAGGGUGUUUGCCAGGUGUGUGGGUGGACAGCACACAUCUGCCCUUGGGAUCGCUUGUGCUGGGGGGGGGGGUCUUUGGUACAUUCCUUUCACUGAAUGCAAGCAGUGCAAAGAGCUGCCUGUGAGCAGUGCAGGGUGGCGUGCAGUCCCUCAGCCGUAAGGCUGGGUCUCUGUCGGGUGUCUGUGCCCCUUUACAGCACAGCAGUAGGUGUGCUGAGUGCUGCGUCUUCUCCCUCAGGGUGUCCCGAAGCGUUAAUGAUCACUGUAGCAGAUGGAGGGAUGGUAAGCAGAUUAAUUGCCUUGUGCAAGGUACCUGAAGUCUCACCCUCCUUCAGAAACACAACACUUGUUCAGCCAGGUAAAUAACUUGUUUUAAAUCCCCUCUCAUUGCAGCUGACCCUAACUGUGUUUAUCCAAGUGGCUGGAGUUGUUCCAGUCUCUGUGGUAAGUGACCUUUCCCGAAUUUUUCUUUUCAAGUUGACAUUUAAGAAGGGGGGAAAAAGUCACAGAAACAAACCGUGUUUUAACAGCGAUAAAACCAUAGCACUCAACAAAGCCAGGAAAGUCUCAUUGGAGCCUGCCACUGAUGGCUGGGCCUUCCCCAGCAGAAUCCAUACGGACAGCGCUGCCUUUAAUUUCCUGCCCUGUCUGUGCCUCGCACGCCGCAGCAGCCCGCGGGACACUCGGCAGCCCUGCCGGGGUGCGGGGACAGCUCCGCACCCGGGGAGGCUUCGGGGUGCGGCUCAGCCCAGACAGCUGCUGGCAGCUGGAGGCACUCGCAUCAUCAGUUCAUUACUGAAAUUCAAAUGAAGAAGAGUUUUAAAUCUUCUCUGGAAGGAAUCUGGGUUUUGGCAGGCGGUGGAGCACUCUGCGUAUUUUGAAAAGGCCUUGGACAAUUUUGGUAAAUGUUUUACUGUGUGUUCGAGCAAGUAAUUUAUCCCUGUUUUUACAUUCCUCGGUUUCUGCUUCAGCACUUCUGCUGCUCAGUCCUCUCAUAGGAAGAUAUUUAAGAAAUGAGGUCUUUGAGUUCUGAAGGAAGUUUACCUCUUCAGCCCACUUGCCCUGAGCAUGAACUGCCUUUCUCAGGCUGGGAAUCCCAAGGCUGCCCAGCACUGAACGCUACUGUCCCCGUGUCCCCCCCAAAACUGUGGCAUGCCAUCCCCAGCUGGGCUUGGCAUGAGGCAGCACCUCUUGUACAUCCCUGCCCUCUCCAUCUGCAGAGCACCCAGGACUGGCCUUGCAGCCUCACUCAGGUUUGUGUUGGGUUGCAGGCGGUGAGCAGGAUGGCAAGAAGCACCUGCUGGGUGCCAGAGCUUCCCCACAGGUCCUCCCCUCCGCUCCUCUCCCUCGCCGAUGGCGAUGGCGCCGCUGCAGAGUGCUGCCUCACAAAGAUGAACCUGCAGAGACGAUGCUGCCCGCAGCACCAGGCCAGGGCGCCUCCUGCCCUGCUUGUUGCUGCUGCCUGCCUGAACGCAAGAGAAAGCCACCAUACGGCUUUCAGCCUGCGACUUCCCAUGAACUGCUGACCCAUCAUGUGAUGCAGGCUGCGGCAGGCCGGCUGGAGCGAGAUGCAAUGUCACCGGCUUAUCACAGUGCACCGAGCUCAGGCAAAGCCCCACUGCACAGCAGGACACAGUUGCUGAGUUUCCCGUCCCAAGCACUGAGUGACCUGGGCAAAGGAAGGUGAGAGGAGCUGCUGGGAGGGGGUAGCUGUUCCCCUUCCCAUAUCUCCUGCAGGUUUUGGAGCUCUGAGGGAAACUGGGGCAUCUUCCCUUGGCUGCUCACGCCUUCCCCUAAAACUGUCGUGCCCUCUCUGGCACCAUGCUGUGCCUUUGCAAUGCUCAGCUUCAGCACGAGCGUGAAGGCACAGCUCUGUGGCUCUCCUGAGAGCACGAUGGCAGGAGUGUCCCUGCAGACUGGGGGGGACCUGGUGUCAAGGGAGGACUUUAAGAGGGAAGGAAGGAAACUCAUUUAUUACCAGCCCCCCGUUUCUCUCUGAGAGACGCCUGCCCACUCCCCAUGGCAGUAUGGCUCCUCUCUGUGGUGCCAGCCCUGCUCCUGCAUGCCUUCAGUCACGCUGCGGCGUGCAUCAUGAGCCUUCUUGCAGGAUGUUGGCUGGCAGUGGUGGCACCUGGGCUCUGGUUUGCUUGGUCCCUUUGCUCAAAGCUGUCUGGAAGCUUUUUGCUCAAUCCACUGAGCACAUGACUUACAGGGUGACUCCAAAACCUGCCCUUGCCAUUCAUGAGCUCAAGCCUGUUUACAAAACAGUGGCUGAGGGCUGCUAUUUAUUGUUACAUACAUAUUGCAUUCAGAGUUGCUAAACAGGCAAAGCCAAAAUGAAAGUCAUCUGAGCAGUUUACUUUAAUUAGAAUAAGAUCCUGAUGAAUCAUGAGGUUUCUUUACCUCAAAGAUGCACAAGGAAUUGACUUUGGCAGCAAACAUCAAGGUACAGCAGUCAGUGCAGCCUGCUAGCUACAUUUGACAUCUGCUGGAAAGACUUGUUUUUCCAUCCCAAGUCACAUGCUAACUUGUGAUCUGAUCAUGAGAUACAAAGGAUAAUCUUCCAAUAUUUAUUUUUCUCAUCUGUAAUUUUAAAAGGCAGAGGAAAAAAAAAAUAAAAAGCAGUGUGAAAAAAAAAAA